AAGGAAUUAGUUAAAAUAUAACAUUAAAAUGUCAAUUUAAAAUAGCUGACAAGUAUUUCUUG
rnacentral:tRNA from 1 species